UUAACUAUUAUAUAGUACUCAGACGACAUUCAAAUAAAAGAGUUUGGGUCCUCUGGCAGGCGCUGUCCAGCCUAGGCCGGUAGACGAAAUGUCUGGCCUGCCAAAGCAACAUAGGUAAUGUUAACAAAGGGUGGGAGAUCUACCCCGAAGGGCAAGUUCUCUGUAAUGAUCCUUCCGCAGGUUCACCUACGGAAA
rnacentral:misc_RNA from 1 species